rnacentral:tRNA from 1 species
UGGCGCAGUUGGUAGAGCAUGGUGUUUGCAAUGCCAGGGUUGUGGGUUCGAUUCCCAC